UACGUAGGGGGCGAGCGUUGUCCGGAUUCAUUGGGCGUAAAGGGUGCGUAGGUGGCGAGGUUAGUCAGGUGUGAAAUCUCGGGGCUCAACCCCGAAACUGCACUUGAUACUGCCCUGCUAGAGUACUGGAGAGGAGAUUGGAAUUUACGGUGUAGCAGUGAAAUGCGUAGAUAUCGUAAGGAAGACCAGUGGCGAAGGCGAAUCUCUGGACAGUUACUGACACUGAGGCACGAAGGCCAGGGAGCAAACGGG
rnacentral:rRNA from 1 species